UACACGCUGUGACUAGCAUAUCAAUAAGCGGAGGAAAAGAAACUAACAAGGAUUCCCCUAGUAACGGCGAGUGAAGCGGGAAGAGCUCAAAUUUGAAAUCUUAAAGGGUUUCCCUUUACGAAUUGUAGUUUAAGGAAGUGUUUUCUGUUGAGGUUUUGGUAAAAGUUCUUUGGAAUAGGACAUCAUAGAGGGUGAGAAUCCCGUAUUUGACCUUUACUUUCAACUUUGUGAUACACUUUCAAAGAGUCGGAUUGUUUGGGAAUGCAGUCCAAAAUGGGUGGUAAAUUUCAUCUAAAGCUAAAUAUUGGCGAGAGACCGAUAGCGAACAAGUACCGUGAGGGAAAGAUGAAAAGAACUUUGAAAAGAGAGUUAAACAGUACGUGAAAUUGUCAAAAGGGAAGCGUUUGACACCAGUGUUGUUUUUCUGAAAAUCAAUUAAAGAACUGUUUAUGCUAAGCUGUUUAGACUUUAUCAGCUAUCUGUUUAGUUUUGAGCUUUUCUUUAAUGCACUUUUCAGUUAACAAGUCAACAUCAAUUUCUUUUGCUGUAAAAAAGCUUGAGGAAGGUGGCCUGAGAUUCGUCUUAAGUGUUUAUAGCCUCUUGCCUAUGCAGUCGGAGAGAUUGAGGUCUGCAGCGUAGAUCCUUCGGGGCUAAAUGCAUUUGUGCUAAGUUAUAGCAUUUUAUAGACAACUUGUUGACUAUGAUUUGUCUUGUAGCUUACUCGCUUAUGUUAUUUUACCUACGCUUAGGAUGUUGAUAUGCAUGACUGAUAU
rnacentral:rRNA from 1 species